rnacentral:tRNA from 1 species
AAGACACUAGUAAAAUACUAUUACACCGCCUUGUCGAGGCGGAGUUGUAGGUUGAACCCCUGCGUGCCUUA